GCCUGGUUGGCUCAGUCGGUAGAGCGUGCAACUCUUGAUCUCAGGAUUGUGAGUUCAAGCCCCACAUUGGGCA